CCUACGGGAGGCAGCAGUGGGGAAUAUUGGGCAAUGGGCGCAAGCCUGACCCAGCAACGCCGCGUGAAGGAAGAAGGCUUUCGGGUUGUAAACUCCUUUUGUUAGGGACGAAACAAGCGACGGUACCUGACGAAUAAGCCACGGCUAACUACGUGCCAGCAGCCGCGGUAAUACGUAGGGGGCAAGCGUUAUUCGGAUGUAUUGGGUGUAAAGGGCGUGUAGGCGGGAAUGUAAGUCAGAUGUGAAAACUAUGGGCUCAACCCAUAGCCUGCAUUUGAAACUGUAUUUCUUGAGUGCUGGAGAGGCAAGCGGAAUUCGGGGUGUAGCGGUGAAAUGCGUAGAUAUACGGAGGAACACCAGUGGCGAAGGCGGAUUGCUGGACAGUAACUGACGCUGAGGCGCGAAAGCGUGGGGAGCAAACAGGAUUAGAUACCCGAGUAGUC
rnacentral:rRNA from 1 species